UUGCAAGCCGUCAACUUCCUAGUAGGUUGUCUGGCUGCAUUGUAACGUACAUAUCGAGGUUUGACAUGGCUGCCUAUGCGAUGAGGGAGGAUACAUUGCAAAAAUACAACGUUUUAGAAGGGCCCCAGACUGUGACAGACUGAGGCGGGCCAUGACGAGUCCAAAACGCAGG